UACGUAGGGUGCAAGCGUUGUCCGGAAUUAUUGGGCGUAAAGAGCUCGUAGGCGGUCUGUCGCGUCUGCUGUGAAAACUCGGGGCUUAACCCCGGGCCUGCAGUGGGUACGGGCAGACUAGAGUGCGGUAGGGGAGACUGGAAUUCCUGUGUAGCGGGUGAAAUGCGCAGAUAUCAGGAGGAACACCGGUGGCGAAGGCGGGUCUCUGGGCAGUAACUGACGCUGAGGAGCGAAAAGCGUGGGGGAGCGAACAGG
rnacentral:rRNA from 1 species